rnacentral:rRNA from 1 species
CGAGCGGACAGAAGGGAGCUUGCUCCCGGAUGUUAGCGGCGGACGGGUGAGUAACACGUGGGUAACCUGCCUGUAAGACUGGGAUAACUCCGGGAAACCGGAGCUAAUACCGGAUAGUUCCUUGAACCGCAUGGUUCAAGGAUGAAAGACGGUUUCGGCUGUCACUUACAGAUGGACCCGCGGCGCAUUAGCUAGUUGGUGGGGUAAUGGCUCACCAAGGCGACGAUGCGUAGCCGACCUGAGAGGGUGAUCGGCCACACUGGGACUGAGACACGGCCCAGACUCCUACGGGAGGCAGCAGUAGGGAAUCUUCCGCAAUGGACGAAAGUCUGACGGAGCAACGCCGCGUGAGUGAUGAAGGUUUUCGGAUCGUAAAGCUCUGUUGUUAGGGAAGAACAAGUGCGAGAGUAACUGCUCGCACCUUGACGGUACCUAACCAGAAAGCCACGGCUAACUACGUGCCAGCAGCCGCGGUAAUACGUAGGUGGCAAGCGUUGUCCGGAAUUAUUGGGCGUAAAGGGCUCGCAGGCGGUUUCUUAAGUCUGAUGUGAAAGCCCCCGGCUCAACCGGGGAGGGUCAUUGGAAACUGGGAAACUUGAGUGCAGAAGAGGAGAGUGGAAUUCCACGUGUACCGGUGAAAUGCGUAGAGAUGUGGAGGAACACCAGUGGCGAAGGCGACUCUCUGGUCUGUAACUGACGCUGAGGAGCGAAAGCGUG